rnacentral:rRNA from 1 species
UACGGGGGGGAGCAAGCGUUGUUCGGAUUUACUGGGCGUAAAGGGCGCGUAGGCGGCCACCGCAAGUCGACUGUGAAAUCUCCGGGCUUAACCCGGAAAGGUCAGCCGAUACUGCGGGGCUAGAGUGCAGAAGGGGCAACUGGAAUUCUCGGUGUAGCGGUGAAAUGCGUAGAUAUCGAGAGGAACACCUGGCGGCGAAGGCGGGUUGCUGGGCUGACACUGACGCUGAAGCGCGAAAGCUAGGGGAGCGAACGGG